rnacentral:lncRNA from 10 species
CAUUAAGUACAAAAGUCCUGAGGUUGUAGGCUGGAGUUUCUGAGGUCGGUGUGGCUGUAGUGAAGGGAACAAUGUGGAAAGGGAGAUGAGGUUAGGAGAGAAGUGGAGGCUGGAUUGUUGGAGUCUUGGGCAGCCACUGGAGAGUUCUGAGCAGAAGUAACAUGGUCUAAUUUUUCUAUUCCUGUUUUGGGAACAGUCUGUGGAAAGGCAAGAGUGAAAUCAGAAAGGCCAGUUGAGUGGCUACUGAAAUAAUUCAGAUAAGAAGAAGCAGAGGUUCUGACCAUCAUGGAGCAGUGGUGGUGGAUUACCAAACCAAUAACAAUGACCAGGCAGUAGUUGAAAUCUGUAUCACAAGAAUCACAACAGCCAUCAGAGAGACCGAGUCCAUUGAAAAGCAUGCAAAGGCCCUUGUGGGGCUCUGGGACUCCUGCUUGGAACAUAACCUGAGACCCUUUGGGAAAGACGAAGACACUCCUCAUGCAAAAAUCGCAUCUGAUAUCAUGAGUUGCAUUUUACAGAAUUACAACCGACCCCCAGUGAUGGCAUUAGCCAUCCCCAUUGCAGUGAAAUUCCUCCACAGAGGCAACAAGGAACUGUGCAGGAAUAUGUCUAACUACCUGUCUCUGGCUGCAAUUACCAAGGCAGAUCUCCUGGCUGAUCACACGGAAGUUAUAGUAAAGAGCAUACUCCAAGGUAUGGUGCGAAAGUUGAGCUUGGGGACAUGUUUUGGGAGAUAUUUAAAAGUAUUUUCAUCAAGCAUUUAUGGUUUGUGGGAAGCA